AUGCUCAUUUGCUUUGUCCAUUUUUUCGAAGAAAAAACAGUCUCCAGAUUCCUAAGCAUUCAGAAUUUUGACUUAGUGUGCUAUUACAUUUCCCAGUAUCAGACGCUAUAUUUUUUGUGGGAAUCAUUGACACGGUUCCUUCAGAAAGUUGUAUCUCUGAAAUGGACAAACUGCUCUUAUGUAAUUCUACCAUCCAUUCUGAUGUUGAGGCAAAUAUACAUGUUAUGCAGGCGUACUAUUGUUCAAGAUAGUGUGUGUGACAUAUGUGGGAACGGGGAGGAAGAUGAAUAUCAUGUUGUUAUAUCAUGCACAAAAAGUAAGGCGUUGAGAUUUGCCAUGAGGAAAGAGUGGAGGCUUCCAGAAGAAAAGGAGUUCUGGUACACUGGAACAGACUGGCUACAAAUCCUACUGGAAAAGUAUGAUUCAGAGAUAAGAAAGAAAAUUCUGCUGUUGUUAUGGAGAGCCUGGUUUCUACGAGAUAACUGUAUCCACAGUGAUGGCAAAGAAACCAUUUCGAGAUCGGUGAUGUUCCUUGUGCAGUAUGAGGAGGAAAUCAGGAAUUUGUCGCUAUCUGUUGUUGGACAGGGAAACAAGAGUUGCUGGUCCCUGUCUGCAUCUAUGCAGACACACCACACCUAG
rnacentral:rRNA from 1 species